rnacentral:tRNA from 1 species
CGAGAAAGACAUAAGAACUGCUAAUUCCUAAUUCCAUGGCUAACAACCAUGGCUUUCUU